UACGUAGGUGGCAAGCGUUGUCCGGAAUUAUUGGGCGUAAAGCGCGCGCAGGCGGUUUCUUAAGUCUGAUGUGAAAGCCCACGGCUUAACCGUGGAAGGUCAUUGGAAACUGGGAGACUUGAGUGCAGAAGAGAAGAGCGGAAUUCCACGUGUAGCGGUGAAAUGCGUAGAGAUGUGGAGGAACACCAGUGGCGAAGGCGGCUCUUUGGUCUGUAACUGACGCUGAGGCGCGAAAAGCGUGGGGGAUCAAACAGG
rnacentral:rRNA from 1 species